rnacentral:rRNA from 1 species
AGUGAACGCUGGCGGUAGGCCUAACACAUGCAAGUCGAACGGCAGCACAGUAAGAGCUUGCUCUUACGGGUGGCGAGUGGCGGACGGGUGAGGUAUACAUCGGAAUCUACUUUUUCGUGGGGGAUAACGUAGGGAAACUUACGCUAAUACCGCAUACGACCUACGGGUGAAAGCAGGGGAUCUUCGUACCUUGCGCGAUUGAUUGAGCCGAUGUCGGAUUAGCUAGUUGGCGGGGUAAAGGCCCACCAAGGCGACGAUCCGUAGCUGGUCUGAGAGGAUGAUCAGCCACACUGGAACUGAGACACGGUCCAGACUCCUACGGGAGGCAGCAGUGGGGAAUAUUGGACAAUGGGCGCAAGCCUGAUCCAGCCAUACCGCGUGGGUGAAGAAGGCCUUCGGGUUGUAAAGCCCUUUUGUUGGGAAAGAAAAGCGGCAGGUUAAUACCCCGCUGUUCUGACGGUACCCAAAGAAUAAGCACCGGCUAACUUCGUG